rnacentral:rRNA from 1 species
UACGUAGGUGGCAAGCGUUGUCCGGAAUUACUGGGCGUAAAGGGCGCGUAGGCGGAUAGUUUAGUCAGAGGUGAAAGCCCAGGGCUCAACCUUGGAAUUGCCUUUGAUACUGGCUAUCUUGAGUUCGGGAGAGGUGAGUGGAAUGCCGAGUGUAGAGGUGAAAUUCGUAGAUAUUCGGCGGAACACCAGUGGCGAAGGCGACUCACUGGCCCGAUACUGACGCUGAGGCGCGAAAGCGUGGGGAGCGAACAGG